rnacentral:rRNA from 1 species
AUGAGAAACAAAAGGGGUGCCACGGCGACGAUAACGAAAAUGGUGCCACCGCAACGUUCCGGUUCCGGUAACUCGAUUGAGAUACCGAUGCAAAAGAGAAAUGUGCGGAUGCAUGGAACACACAAGAGAUGGUGGGGUGAUCCCGGUUACCGGGUGUCCCAUGUGUUGGUGGCAUGGCAAUCGAGGGUCGUGCACGAAACAAACGGGCACGGUGCAACACACGGGGUUCAUCUCGUAUCACACAACAUUCGUCCACGGUGGUCGUCUCGAUGUUAUACCUUUGAAGCGUGUGUUUUCGGGGCGGAACGAGUUUGA